rnacentral:rRNA from 1 species
AGAGUUUGAUCCUGGCUCAGGACGAACGCUGGCGGCGCGCCUAACACAUGCAAGUCGAACGGGACUAUGCAAGAUGAAGUUUUCGGAUGGAAUUUUGUAUAGUUUAGUGGCGGACGGGUGAGUAACACGUGAGCAACCUGCCUUCGAGAGGGGAAUAACGGCUGGAAACGGUCGCUAAUACCGCAUAACAUACAGGAGGGACAUCCCUUUUGUAUCAAAGAUUUAUCGCUCGAAGAUGGGCUCGCGUCCGAUUAGGUAGUUGGUGAGGUAAUGGCCCACCAAGCCGACGAUCGGUAGCCGGACUGAGAGGUUGAACGGCCACAUUGGGACUGAGACACGGCCCAGACUCCUACGGGAGGCAGCAGUGGGGGAUAUUGCACAAUGGGGGAAACCCUGAUGCAGCGACGCCGCGUGUAGGAAGACGGUCCUCUGGAUUGUAAACUACUGUCCCCAGGGACGAAGAUGACGGUACCUGGGGAGGAAGCUCCGGCUAACUACGUG